rfam:Triticum aestivum genome assembly, contig: Triticum_aestivum_CS42_TGACv1_scaffold_129987_2BL
GUACUACUCCCUCCGUCUGAAAAUACUUGUCAUUAAAAUGGACAAAAAAGAAUAUAUCUAGAACUAAGAUACAUCUACAUACAUUCCCUUUUAUUCAUUUUGAUGACAAGUAUUUUCGCACGAAGGGAGUAGUAG